UACGGAGGGUGCGAGCGUUGUUCGGAAUCACUGGGCGUAAAGGGCGUGUAGGCGGUCCGCUAAGUCUGAUGUGAAAGCCCGGGGCUCACCCCCGGAAGUGCAUUGGAAACUGGCGGACUCGAGUCCCGGAGAGGAGAGUGGAAUUCCUGGUGUAGAGGUGAAAUUCGUAGAUAUUAGGAAGAACACCGGUGGCGAAGGCGGCCCACUGGAUCGGUACUGACGCUGAGGUGCGAAAGCGUGGGGAGCAAACAGG
rnacentral:rRNA from 1 species